rnacentral:rRNA from 1 species
AUUGAACGCUGGCGGCAGGCUUAACACAUGCAAGUCGAGCGGAGAGAGGUAGCUUGCUACUGAUCUUAGCGGCGGACGGGUGAGUAACACGUGGGUAAUCCACCCUCGGCACCGGAAUAGCCCGGGGAAACCCGGAUUAAUGCCGGAUGGCCCGCCGGCCCCGAGGGGCUGGCGGAAAAGGGAGCUUCGGCCUCCGGCCGGGGACGAGCCCGCGACGGAUUAGCUUGUUGGUGGGGUAAUGGCCUACCAAGGCGGCGACGGGUAGCCGGCCUGAGAGGGCGACCGGCCACACUGGGACUGAGACACGGCCCAGACUCCUACGGGAGGCAGCAGUGGGGAAUAUUGCACAAUGGGCGGAAGCCUGAUGCAGCGACGCCGCGUGGGGGAUGACGGCCUUCGGGUUGUAAACCUCUUUCGACCCUGACGAAGCGUGAGUGACGGUAGGGGGAGAAGAAGCACCGGCCAACUACGUGCCAGCCGCCGCGGUAAGAC